ensembl:lncRNA
AGCCCUGCAGGUGAUGCCAAUGGUGCCAAGCAGGAGCCCGCCGAGUUUCUAAAGCUCAGUUCAGUUUAACGUUGGCCGGGACGGGAGUGUUUCCCGGAGCAGUUCUGUCUACAAGAACAGCGUUAAGAAAUUUGAAAUCAUCUUUGCCAUCAGGCCAGCAAAAACUCUAGGUGGAAGAUAAAACUCCUAUACUGAAACAGUAGAAUUUGCACAAUGUUGGAGUAAGGUGAGC